CGAUGAAGAAACGCUCACUACUCCAGCUGAACUUCUGAACUCCAAUCCAGAGCUCAACAUGAGAAAACUCAACAAGCCCCUACGGAGUGCCUGCCAAGGACAUUGCCUCCAUGGAGGGAGGUUAUGAGACAGAUGUGCAGCCCUCUGCAAUGAUGACGCUGGCCAUUAUGAGGCAUUCUCCGGCCCUAGCUCUACCCCUGACUCCACUCCGUUUACUUGCACUUGCUUUCCCUCAACUCUGAUUUAACUACUUUUUAUUCUCUACUAUUGUGUAUCUUCUAUAAGCUGCUUCAAGUCCUUUUGUACACAGUGGAUUUUGCACCACCAGAUCCUGUAAAAAUACAAUGUGGCCUCAGGUUUGAAUCCUGACCUGUCAGUUAUGUGACCUUGGGCAAGUCGCUUAAUAUUUCUAAGCUUUAUUUCCUCCUUUUAAGUUGAGGAUAAUGGCAUUUACAUUACAUAGUGGCUGUGAGAACUAAAGGUAAUUUACAUAAAGACUUGGUACUUUGUAACUAUUAAA